rnacentral:rRNA from 1 species
GACGAACGCUGGCGGCAUGCUUUACACAUGCAAGUCGAACGGUAACAGGCCGCAAGGUGCUGACGAGUGGCGAACGGGUGAGUAAUGCAUCGGAACGUGCCCAGUCGUGGGGGAUAACGCAGCGAAAGCUGCGCUAAUACCGCAUACGAUCUAUGGAUGAAAGCGGGGGACCGUAAGGCCUCGCGCGAUUGGAGCGGCCGAUGUCAGAUUAGGUAGUUGGUGGGGUAAAGGCUCACCAAGCCGACGAUCUGUAGCUGGUCUGAGAGGACGACCAGCCACACUGGGACUGAGACACGGCCCAGACUCCUACGGGAGGCAGCAGUGGGGAAUUUUGGGCAAUGGGCGCAAGCCUGAUCCAGCAAUGCCGCGUGCAGGAAGAAGGCCUUCGGGUUGUAAACUGCUUUUGUACGGAACGAAACGGUCCUGGUUAAUACCCGGGGCUAAUGACGGUACCGUAAGAAUAAGCACCGGCUAACUACGUGCCAGCAGCCGCCGUAACAC